rnacentral:rRNA from 1 species
AUACGUAGGGUGCAAGCGUUAAUCGGAAUUACUGGGCGUAAAGCGUGCGCAGGCGGUUUUGUAAAACAGAGGUGAAAUACCCGGGCUCAACCUGGGAACUGCCUUUGUGACUGCAAGGCCAGAGUCCGGCAGAGGGGGAUUGCAAUCACCGUGUAGCGAGGAAAAGCGUAGAUAUGCGGAGGAACACCGAUGGCGAAGGCAAUCCCCUGGGCCUGUACUGACGCUCAUGCACGAAAGCGUGGGGAGCAAACAGGAUUAGAUACCCUGGUAGUCCACGCCCUAAACGAUGUCAACUGGUUGUUGGGUCUUCAUUGACUCAGUAACGAAGCUAACGCGUGAAGUUGACCGCCUGGGGAGUACGGCCGCAAGGUUGAAACUCGAAUGAAUUGGCGGGG